rnacentral:rRNA from 1 species
AGAGUUUGAUCCUGGCUCAGGACUAACGCUGGCGGCGUGCUUAACACAUGCAAGUGGAGCGACGAACCAGGGCUUGCCCUGGGGCAGAGCCGCGAACGGGUGAGUAACACGUGGGUAACCUACCUCGAUGACCGGUACAACCCGAGGAAACUCGGGCUAAUACCGGAUGUGCUCCGUCCUCUCAAGGGGAUUGAGUAAAGAUAGCUUUGGCCUUCGCAUCGAGACGGGCCCGCGGCCCAUUAGCUUGUUGGUGAGGUAACGGCUCACCAAGGCUGCGAUGGGUAGCUGGUCUGAGAGGACGAUCAGCCACACUGGGACUGAGACACGGCCCGGGCUCCUACGGGAGGCAGCAGUGGGGAAUCUUGCGCAAUGCGCGAAAGCGUGACGCAGCAACACCGCGUGGGGGAAGAAGGCCUUCGGGUUGUAAACCCCUUUCAGUUGGGACGAAGCUUCGAGGGUUAAUAGCUCUCUGGAGUGACGGUACCUUCAGAAGAAGCCCCGGCUAACUACGUGCCAGCAGCCGCGGUAAUACGUAGGGGGCUAGCGUUGUCCGGAAUCAUUGGGCGUAAAGCGCGAAUAGGCGGUCCGGUAAGUCCGCUGUGAAAGUCGGGGGCUCAACCCUCGGAUGCCGGUGGAUACUGUCGGGCUUGAGUACGGAAGAGGCGAGUGGAAUUCCUGGUGUAGCGGUGAAAUGCGCAGAUAUCAGGAGGAACACCACUUGCGAAGGCAGCUCGCUGGGACGUUACUGACGCUGAGACGCGAAAGCGUGGGGAGCAAACAGGAUUAGAUACCCUGGUAGUCCACGCCCUAAACGAUGGAUACUAGGCGUAGGAGGUAUCGACCCCUCCUGUGCCGCAGCAAACGCAUUAAGUAUCCCGCCUGGGGAGUACGGCCGCAAGGUUGAAACUCAAAUGAAUUGACGGGGACCCGCACAAGCGGUGGAGCAUGCGGAUUAAUUCGAUACUAACCGAAGAACCUUACCCACUCUUGACAUUGAAGGAAAGCUCUAGAGAUAGAGCCCUCUCUCACAAGGAGACCUGAAAACAGAUGUUGCAUGGCUGUCGUCAGCUCGUGCCGUGAGGUGUACGGUUAAGUCCGCCAACGAGCGCAACCCUCGUUCUGUGUUACCAGCGAGUAAUGUCGGGCACUCACAGGAGACCGCCGGUGUAAGCCGGAGGAAGGUGGGGAUGAUGUCAAGUCAGCAUGGCUCUUACGAGUGGGGCUUCACACAUGCUACAAUGGGCGCAACAAAGGGCAGCGAUACCGCGAGGUGGAGCAAAUCCCAAAAAUACGUCCUCAGUUCAGAUUGCAGUCUGCAACUCGACUCUAUGAAGCUGGAAUCGCUAGUAAUCGCGCAUCAGCCAUGGCGCGGUGAAUACGUUCCCGGGCCUUGUACACACCGCCCGUCAAACAAUGGAAGCUGGGGGUGCCUGAAGUC